rnacentral:rRNA from 1 species
CAUCACUGGUGUUCGGGUUGUCAUGCCAAUGGCACUGCCCGGUAGCUAAAUGCGGAAGAGAUAAGUGCUGAAAGCAUCUAAGCACGAAACUUGCCCCGAGAUGAGUUCUCCCUGACUCCUUGAGAGUCCUGAAGGAACGUUGAAGACGACGACGUUGAUAGGCCGGGUGUGUAAGCGCAGCGAUGCGUUGAGCUAACCGGUACUAAAAGAGAUAAGUGCUGAAAGCAUCUAAGCACGAAACUUGCCCCGAGAUGAGUUCUCCCUGACUCCUUGAGAGUCCUGAAGGAACGUUGAAGACGACGACGUUGAUAGGCCGGGUGUGUAAGCGCAGCGAUGCGUUGAGCUAACCGGUACUAAUGAACCGUGAGGCUUAACCUUACAACGCCGAAGCUGUU